GAUGAACGCUGGCGGCGUGCCUAAUACAUGCAAGUCGAGCGGACGGACGAGAAGCUUGCGGGGUUGAUGUUAGGGGAAGACGGGUGAGUAACGCGUGGAUAACCUACUUAUAAGUCGGGGAUAACUUCGGGAAACCGGAGAUAAUAGGAGAGAAUAUUCUGAACCGCAGGGUGGAAAGGAGAGAGACGGUGGUGGGGGCAGGUAUAGAGGCAUCCGCGCUGGAUGAGCUAGUUGGUAAGGUAACGGCUUACCAAGGGAACGAGGCAUAGGCGACCUGAGGGGCUGAUCGCCCACCCUGGAACUUAGCCCCGGUCCAGACUCCUACGGGACGGCGCAGUCGGGAACGUUCGGCAAUGGGCGAAAGCCUGACGCAGCCACGCCGCGUGUGUUACGACGGUCUUCGGAUCGUAAAACUCUCUUUUUAGUGAAGAACAUCUGUGUCCGUAACUGUGCCCAUCUUGACGGUACCUAAUCAGAAAGCACCGGCUAACUACGUG
rnacentral:rRNA from 1 species